AGUGAACGCUGGCGGUAGGCCUAACACAUGCAAGUCGAACGGCAGCACAGUAAGAGCUUGCUCUUACGGGUGGCGAGUGGCGGACGGGUGAGGAAUACAUCGGAAUCUACUUUUUCGUGGGGGAUAACGUAGGGAAACUUACGCUAAUACCGCAUACGACCUACGGGUGAAAGCAGGGGAUCUUCGGACCUUGCGCGAUUGAAUGAGCCGAUGUCGGAUCAGCUAGUUGGCGGGGUAAAGGCCCACCAAGGCGACGAUCCGUAGCUGGUCUGAGAGGAUGAUCAGCCACACUGGAACUGAGACACGGUCCAGACACCUACGGGAGGCAGCAGUGGGGAAUAUUGGACAAUGGGCGCAAGCCUGAUCCAGCCAUACCGCGUGGGUGAAGAAGGCCUUCGGGUUGUAAAGCCCUUUUGUUGGGAAAGAAAAGCAGCAGGUUAAUACCCCGCUGUUCUGACGGUACCCAAAGAAUAAGCACCGGCUAACUUCGUG
rnacentral:rRNA from 1 species